UACGUAGGGUCCAAGCGUUAUCCGGAAUUACUGGGCGUAAAGAGUUGCGUAGGUGGCAUAGUAAGCGAAUAGUGAAAUGACGAGGCUCAACCUCGUGUCCAUUAUUUGAACUACUAAGCUAGAGUAUGGGAGAGGUAGAUGGAAUUUCUAGUGUAGGAGUGAAAUCCGUAGAUAUUAGAAGGAACACCGAUGGCGUAGGCAGUCUACUGGCCCAUUACUGACACUAAGGCACGAAAGCGUGGGGAGCGAACGGG
rnacentral:rRNA from 1 species